rnacentral:sRNA from 1 species
UCAACGAGUAAGUGCAUUCGUUGUCAC